AAAAAUCUCUAUUUUAAUUUUCUGUCUGGUAAUUUGGUUCUAAAAAAAUAGGGCUUUUUUGGCAAUUAGCCCCCUGAAAAAAAUUUAUUUUAAAAAUAGCUCCAGUAAAUUUUAAUUUACAAAAAUGGUCCUGAAUUUGCCACGCAGGCGCUACAUCAGCGCCACGCGGACGGGUCGGAUUGUUAAGUUGAACACGGUGAACCAUUCACCGUGCCAUUCACUGUGUUUGAACACGGUGAAUGGUUCACCGUGUUUCAUACUUAUCUUUUUCAUAAUACGUAUAUUUUUUCUUUCUCUUUUUUUUUCUUAGACACGAUGAAUCAUUCACCCAUGUUUAGACAAGGUGAAUGGUUCACCGCGCAUGGCGCUGACGUAGCACCUGCGUGGCAGGGCCAGGGCUAUUUUUGCAAAUUUAAAUUUACUAAGGCUUAUUUUU
rnacentral:lncRNA from 1 species